UACGGAGGGUGCAAGCGUUGUCCGGAAUCACUGGGCGUAAAGGGCGCGUAGGCGGCUCGGUAAGUAGGGGGUGAAAUCCUGCGGCUCAACCGCAGGGCUGCCUUCUAAACUGUCGAGCUCGAGCACGGUAGAGGCAGAUGGAAUUCCCGGUGUAGCGGUGGAAUGCGUAGAGAUCGGGAAGAACAUCAGUGGCGAAGGCGGUCUGCUGGGCCGUUGCUGACGCUGAGGCGCGAAAGCGUGGGGAGCGAACAGG
rnacentral:rRNA from 1 species